rnacentral:rRNA from 1 species
AAUUGAAGAGUUUGAUCAUGGCUCAGAUUGAACGCUGGCGGCAGGCCUAACACAUGCAAGUCGAGCGGUAGCACAGAGAGCUUGCUCUCGGGUGACGAGCGGCGGACGGGUGAGUAAUGUCUGGGAAACUGCCUGAUGGAGGGGGAUAACUACUGGAAACGGUAGCUAAUACCGCAUAACGUCGCAAGACCAAAGUGGGGGACCUUCGGGCCUCAUGCCAUCAGAUGUGCCCAGAUGGGAUUAGCUAGUAGGUGGGGUAACGGCUCACCUAGGCGACGAUCCCUAGCUGGUCUGAGAGGAUGACCAGCCACACUGGAACUGAGACACGGUCCAGACUCCUACGGGAGGCAGCAGUGGGGAAUAUUGCACAAUGGGCGCAAGCCUGAUGCAGCCAUGCCGCGUGUGUGAAGAAGGCCUUCGGGUUGUAAAGCACUUUCAGCGGGGAGGAAGGCGGUGAGGUUAAUAACCUCAUCGAUUGACGUUACCCGCAGAAGAAGCACCGGCUAACUCCGUGCCAGCAGCCGCGGUAAUACGGAGGGUGCAAGCGUUAAUCGGAAUUACUGGGCGUAAAGCGCACGCAGGCGGUCUGUCAAGUCGGAUGUGAAAUCCCCGGGCUCAACCUGGGAACUGCAUUCGAAACUGGCAGGCUAGAGUCUUGUAGAGGGGGGUAGAAUUCCAGGUGUAGCGGUGAAAUGCGUAGAGAUCUGGAGGAAUACCGGUGGCGAAGGCGGCCCCCUGGACAAAGACUGACGCUCAGGUGCGAAAGCGUGGGGAGCAAACAGGAUUAGAUACCCUGGUAGUCCACGCCGUAAACGAUGUCGAUUUGGAGGUUGUGCCCUUGAGGCGUGGCUUCCGGAGCUAACGCGUUAAAUCGACCGCCUGGGGAGUACGGCCGCAAGGUUAAAACUCAAAUGAAUUGACGGGGGCCCGCACAAGCGGUGGAGCAUGUGGUUUAAUUCGAUGCAACGCGAAGAACCUUACCUGGUCUUGACAUCCACAGAACUUUCCAGAGAUGGAUUGGUGCCUUCGGGAACUGUGAGACAGGUGCUGCAUGGCUGUCGUCAGCUCGUGUUGUGAAAUGUUGGGUUAAGUCCCGCAACGAGCGCAACCCUUAUCCUUUGUUGCCAGCGGUUAGGCCGGGAACUCAAAGGAGACUGCCAGUGAUAAACUGGAGGAAGGUGGGGAUGACGUCAAGUCAUCAUGGCCCUUACGACCAGGGCUACACACGUGCUACAAUGGCAUAUACAAAGAGAAGCGACCUCGCGAGAGCAAGCGGACCUCAUAAAGUAUGUCGUAGUCCGGAUUGGAGUCUGCAACUCGACUCCAUGAAGUCGGAAUCGCUAGUAAUCGUAGAUCAGAAUGCUACGGUGAAUACGUUCCCGGGCCUUGUACACACCGCCCGUCACACCAUGGGAGUGGGUUGCAAAAGAAGUAGGUAGCUUAACCUUCGGGAGGGCGCUUACCACUUUGUGAUUCAUGACUGGGGUGAAGUCGUAACAAGGUAACCGUAGGGGAACCUGCGGUUGGAUCACCUCCUUACCUUA